CGACCGGCGCACGGGUGAGUAACACGUAUGCAACCUGCCCUUUGCAGGGGGAUAACCGGAAGAAAUUCCGACUAAUACCGCAUAAUACUUUCUGGAGACAUCUCCGGAGAUUCAAAGGAAGCAAUUCCGGCAUAGGAUGGACAUGCGUCGCAUUAGGUAGACGGCGGGGUAACGGCCCACCGUGCCGACGAUGCGUAGGGGUUCUGAGAGGAAGGCCCCCCACACUGGUACUGAGACACGGACCAGACUCCUACGGGAGGCAGCAG
rnacentral:rRNA from 1 species